CUUUUCACUAGGGCGUUCCGGGAAUCCCGUUUUUAGGGAGGCGGGUAGCCUCUGUCCUCAGCUGAUCCCUACACGGGUGAAGGGUACUGCUGUUGGUAGUGGCAGUUUUGGCGGCACUGACCUGUGUAUCACUUCACAGUGGUUUACAUUCUGUUGGCAACAGAAACAUAGCACAGCUGUAACCCGCAUGGGGACCUCUCCUGGGCCAGGCAGGACCUGCACCAAAUAGGUCCCAUCAGAUUGGAGAAGUUAAGGAUUUCUAGAUCACAUCGGAAUUUGAAUGGGAAUAAGCCAGAAGCGUGCAGGAAGCAAGGACCAGGAAGCAGUGCCCUG